AUUGAACGCUGGCGGCAUGCUUUACCCAUGCAAGUCGAACGGUAACAGGCCUUCGGGCGCUGACGAGUGGCGAACGGGUGAGUAAUGCAUCGGAACGUGCCCAGUCGUGGGGGAUAACGCAGCGAAAGCUGCGCUAAUACCGCAUACGAUCUGUGGAUGAAAGCGGGGGACCGUAAGGCCUCGCGCGAUUGGAGCGGCCGAUGUCAGAUUAGGUAGUUGGUGGGGUAAAGGCUCACCAAGCCGACGAUCUGUAGCUGGUCUGAGAGGACGACCAGCCACACUGGGACUGAGACACGGCCCAGACUCCUACGGGAGGCAGCAGUGGGGAAUUUUGGACAAUGGGGGCAACCCUGAUCCAGCAAUGCCGCGUGCAGGAAGAAGGCCUUCGGGUUGUAAACUGCUUUUGUACGGAACGAAACGGCUCUGGUUAAUACCUGGAGCUAAUGACGGUACCGUAAGAAUAAGCACCGGCUAACUACGUGCCAGCCGCCGCAGUAAAAC
rnacentral:rRNA from 1 species